rnacentral:rRNA from 1 species
GAUGAACGCUGGCGGCGUGCCUAAUACAUGCAAGUCGAGCGAACAGACGAGGAGCUUGCUCCUCUGACGUGAGCGGCGGACGGGUGAGUAACACGUGGAUAACCUACCUAUAAGACUGGGAUAACUUCGGGAAACCGGAGCUAAUACCGGAUAAGAUAUUGAACCGCAUGGUUCAAUAGUGAAAGACGGUUUUGCUGUCACUUAUAGAUGGAUCCGCGCCGCAUUAGCUAGUUGGUAAGGUAACGGCUUACCAAGGCAACGAUGCGUAGCCGACCUGAGAGGGUGAUCGGCCACACUGGAACUGAGCCACGGUCAAGACUACUACGGGAGGCAGCAGUAGGGAAUCUUACGCAAUGGGCGAAAGCCUGACGGAGCAACGCCGCGUGAGUGAUGAAGGUCUUCGGAUCGUAAAACUCUGUUAUUAGGGAAGAACCACUGUGUAAGUAACUAUGCACGUCUUGACGGUAACUAAUCAGAAAGCCACGGCUAACUACGUG